AUGAAUGAAUAUGCGGGAGUGAAAGAAUGAAAUGGAAAAAAAACAACAACAACAACACUGUUAUUGAAACAAUGAAACAAAACUCGAUAUCAUCCGCUCGAACACCGCCAUUUUCUAAGAAAAAAACGGGCAUUAUGAAAUGAAUGAAUCAUCUGAAUCCAGGAAAGAAAAAAAACAAGGAAUCCAAACACACACACACACAGAGAAUGAAUCUAUAUAUGGAAUAUAAUAGACAAAACCGAAUAAACAAACAAAAAUAAAACAGAAAAAAG